AUUUGAGCAGUGGGUGGCGGCGAAGGCAGCGAUGGAGAACUGGAACCGGUGGAGUAAGGGAUAGAGCUACCGUCCUACUGUUAUUGGGCUUGAUCCUAAUAACUUAAGACACUUGCAUAAUAACUUUAAGAGGGCGAGAGCAAGUAGGACAAAAAUGAGAAGAAAGCAGAAAACUUUAGGAUGGAAUAUAUGUCACAAUACUAGACAUAACAAAAGGGCUUGCAAAUAUAAUUUGGGGCAGAUUGAUUCUCAUAAUGUUACUCAGCAAUUAAGGGAAUCAUCUUCAUCAUCUCCUCCAACAAAACUACCAGUAAUUUUUUGUUUAACUUAUAGAAUAUUACGCUCAAAUAAUUAUGUUCAACUUGUGUAAUGAUAUUAUUUAUUUAUCCAGGGUCGAAGAGUUUCAGAG
rnacentral:lncRNA from 1 species